rnacentral:rRNA from 1 species
UACGUAGGGUGCAAGCGUUGUCCGGAAUUAUUGGGCGUAAAGAGCUCGUAGGUGGUUUGUCGCGUCUGCCGUGAAAGUCCGGGGCUCAACUCCGGAUCUGCGGUGGGUACGGGCAGACUAGGAGUGAUGUAGGGGAGACUGGAAGUUCCUGGUGUAGCGGUGAAAUGCGCAGAUAUCAGGAGGAACACCGGUGGCGAAGGCGGCUGCUGGGCCUUACCUGACGCUGAGGAGCGAAAGCGUGGGAGCGAACAGG